CUGGUCUGAGAGGAUGAUCAGCCACACUGGGACUGAGACACGGCCCAGACUCCUACGGGAGGCAGCAGUGGGGAAUUUUCCGCAAUGGGCGAAAGCCUGACGGAGCAACGCCGCGUGAGGGACGAAGGCCUCUGGGCUGUAAACCUCUUUUCUCAAGGAAGAAGAUAUGACGGUACUUGAGGAAUAAGCCACGGCUAAUUCCGUGCCAGCAGCCGCGGUAAUACGGGAGUGGCAAGCGUUAUCCGGAAUUAUUGGGCGUAAAGCGUCCGCAGGCGGCUUUUCAAGUCUGCUGUUAAAGCGUGGAGCCUAACUCCAUCAUGGCAGUGGAAACUGAAAGGCUUGAGUAUGGUAGGGGCAGAGGGAAUUCCCGGUGUAGCGGUGAAAUGCGUAGAUAUCGGGAAGAACACCAGUGGCGAAGGCGCUCUGCUGGGCCAUUACUGACGCUCAUGGACGAAAGCCAGGGGAGCGAAAGGGAUUAGAUACCCCUGUAGUCCUGGCCGUAAACGAUGAACACUAGGUGUCGGGGGAAUCGACCCCUUCGGUGUCGUAGCUAACGCGUUAAGUGUUCCGCCUGGGGAGUACGCACGCAAGUGUGAAACUCAAAGGAAUUGACGGGGGCCCGCACAAGCGGUGGAGUAUGUGGUUUAAUUCGAUGCAACGCGAAGAACCUUACCAGGGUUUGACAUCCUGCGAACCUCUUAGAAAUUUGAGGGUGCCUUCGGGAAUGCAGUGACAGGUGGUGCAUGGCUGUCGUCAGCUCGUGUCGUGAGAUGUUGGGUUAAGUCCCGCAACGAGCGCAACCCACGUUUUUAGUUGCCAGCAUUUAGUUGGGCACUCUAGAAAGACCGCCGGUGAUAAACCGGAGGAAGGUGUGGAUGACGUCAAGUCAUCAUGCCCCUUACACCCUGGGCUACACACGUACUACAAUGCUACGGACAAAGGGCAGCAAACUCGCGAGAGCUAGCAACUCCCAUAAACCGUGGCUCAGUUCAGAUCGUAGGCUGCAACUCGCCUACGUGAAGUAGGAAUCGCUAGUAAUCGCAGGUCAGCAUACUGCGGUGAAUACGUUCCCGGGCCUUGUACACACCGCCCGUCACACCAUGGAAGUUGGCCAUGCCCGAAGUCGUUACUCCAA
rnacentral:rRNA from 1 species